CCAGACUCCUACGGGAGGCAGCAGUGGGGAAUAUUGGGCAAUGGGCGCAAGCCUGACCCAGCAACGCCGCGUGAAGGAAGAAGGCUUUCGGGUUGUAAACUUCUUUUAAGAGGGAAGAGCAGAAGACGGUACCUCUUGAAUAAGCCACGGCUAACUACGUGCCAGCAGCCGCGGUAAUACGUAGGUGGCAAGCGUUGUCCGGAUUUACUGGGUGUAAAGGGCGUGCAGCCGGGAAGACAAGUCAGAUGUGAAAUCCCGCGGCUCAACCGCGGAACUGCAUUUGAAACUGUUUUUCUUGAGUACCGGAGAGGUCAUCGGAAUUCCUUGUGUAGCGGUGAAAUGCGUAGAUAUAAGGAGGAACACCGGUGGCGAAGGCGACUUUCUGGACGAUAACUGACGUUGAGGCACGAAAGUGUGGGGAGCAAACAGGAUUAGAUACCCUGGUAU
rnacentral:rRNA from 1 species